rnacentral:rRNA from 1 species
GUCGAGGAUCAUUCGCAAUGGGCGAAAGCCUGACGAUGCGACGCUGCGUGGAGGAUGAAGGCCUUCGGGUCGUAAACUCCUGACAUCCGGGAGCAAUGGUCCCGCCGUGAACAACGGCGGGCAGAGAUAGUACCGGAAGAGGAAGCCACGGCUAACUCUGUGCCAGCAGCCGCGGUAAUACAGAGGUGGCGAGCGUUGUUCGGAUUUACUGGGCGUAAAGGGCGCGUAGGCGGUCCUGUGUGUCGGAUGUGAAAGCCCACUGCUCAACGGUGGAACGGCAUUCGAAACUGCGGGGCUAGAGUGCAGGAGAGGAGAGCGGAAUUCUCGGUGUAGCGGUGAAAUGCGUUGAUAUCGAGAGGAACACCGGUGGCGAAGGCGGCUCUCUGGAAUGCUACUGACGCUGAGGCACGAAAGUUGGGGGAGCAAACAGGAUUAGAAACCCCAGUAGUCC